AUGCCGAUGGAUGUCCUCCAGCACCUAAUCGCCAAAGCAACGGCGAAGGAGGUGUGGGAUUCGCUGAAGCUCAUGUUCGAGGGACACACCCGUGUCAAGCAAGCCAAUCUCCAAACUCUCCUAAGAAACUACGAGACUUUGGUCAUGGGCGAUGAUGAGACCGUGGAUGCGUUCGCUUCACGGGUGUCUACUCUCGUCAAUCGGAUUCACGCGCUUGGAGAGAAUCUCACGGAAGCCUCGGUUGUCCGGCGGUUCUUACGCGCGGCCCCUCCCCGGUAUCUGCAAAUUGUCACGGCAAUCGAGCAGUGCGUUGAUCUCGCGACUCUCUCCAUCGAUGAUCUUGUCGGACGGUACAAGGCUCACGAUGAGCGGAUGCGGUACACUCUUGGGGAUGGGAGGAACGACGAGCUUGUGAUGCUCACGAAGGCACAGUGGAUCGCCCUAGAA
rnacentral:rRNA from 1 species